GACGAACGCUGGCGGCGUGCUUAACACAUGCAAGUCGAACGGAAAGGCCCUGCUUGCAGGGUGCUCGAGUGGCGAACGGGUGAGUAACACGUGGGUGAUCUGCCCCUUAUUUUGGGAUAAGCCUGGGAAACUGGGUCUAAUACUGGAUAGGACCAUGCUGUAGGUGUUGUGGUGGAAAGAUUAGUUUCGGUAAGGGAUGAGCUCGCGGCCUAUCAGCUUGUUGGUGGGGUAAUGGCCUACCAAGGCGUCGACGGGUAGCCGGCCUGAGAGGGUGGACGGCCACAUUAGGACUGAGAUAAGGCCCAGACUCCUACGGGAGGCAGCAGUGGGGAAUAUUGAACAAUGGGCGCAAGCCGGAUGCAGCGACGCCGCGUGGGGGAUGACGGCCUUCGGGUUGUAAACUCCUUUCAGCCAUGACGAAGCCCUUGUGGUGACGGUAGUGGUAGAAGAAGCACCGGCUAACUACGUG
rnacentral:rRNA from 1 species